rnacentral:rRNA from 1 species
CCCUAGUUUAAAUUCCCGAAACUAGACGAGCUACUCCAAGACAGCCUUUUAUAAGGGCCAACCCGUCUCUGUGGCAAAAGAGUGGGAAGAUCUUUGAGUAGGGGUGAAAAACCUAUCGAGCCUAGUUAUAGCUGGUUGCUUAAGAAAUGGAUGUUAGUUCAGCCCCAUAAUAUUCUUAGGCCCAAGUACUUGACUUCAAAGUUGAGGAGCUAAGUAAUGUAUGAGAGUAAUCCAAAGGAGGUACAGCUCCCCUGGAAAAGAAAACAACCUUAAUAAGAGGGCAAAGGAUCAUAUUUAACCAUAAGGAUAAUUUCCCCAGUGGGCCUAAGAGCAGCCACCUGUAAAGAAAGCGUUAAAGCUCAAGAAGAACACAACCAAAAAUAAUGAUAUAACCUCCCCACCCCCUACUAUUAUUAAGCCCUCCCAUGUAAACAUGGGACAGAUAAUGCUAAAAUGAGUAAUAAGAGAGUAAAAGACUCUCUCCAAGCGCAAGUGUAAGUCAGGCCGGACAAACCACUGACAAAGAACGGACCCACGUAGCAAUGAGGGAAAAGAAGAAAAGAAAAACUAACAAGAAAAACCUACUAAAAGCAAAAACCCGUUAUUCCGACACAGGGGCGCAAAGCAAGGAAAGACUAAAAGAAAAGGAAGGAACUCGGCAAACAAAAAAUCUCGCCUGUUUACCAAAAACAUCGCCUCUAGCAAAUAAACAAGUAUUAGAGGUCCCGCCUGCCCAGUGACUAUAAGUUCAACGGCCGCGGUAUUAUGACUGCGCUAAGGUAGCGUAAUCACUUGUCUUCUAAAUAGAGACCAGUAUGAAUGGCACCACGAAGAUUUAACUGUCUCCCUACUCCAGUCAAUGAAAUUGAUCUAUCCGUGCAGAAGCGGAUAUAAAGACAUAAGACGAGAAGACCCUAUGGAGCUUUAGGAAUUAGGCAAACAUGUCAAGAAGCUAUAAACACAACGAAACAGCUUUAAACUUAGUGAAACAUGACCCAACUCCUUAGGUUGGGGCGACCCUGAGGCAAAAAACAGCCCUCAUAUGGAAAUAAAGGAAUGUACUAUUUAAGACCUUUACACCCACGAGCGACAACUCUAAGGAGCAGAACAUCUGACCAAAACUGACCCAGGAUUAAUUAACCUGAUUAUUGGACCAAGUUACCCUAGGGAUAACAGCGCAAUCUUCUCUUAGAGUUCAUAUCGACGAGAAGGCUUACGACCUCGAUGUUGGAUCAGGACAUCCUAAUGGUGCAACCGCUAUUAAGGGUUCG